rnacentral:sRNA from 1 species
ACCUCAGCCUCCUGAGUAGCUGGGACCACAGGUGCGUGCCACCAUGCCCAGUUAAUUUCUGUAUUUUUGUAGAGAUAAGCGUUUCACCAUGUUGCCCGGGCUGGUCUCAAACUCCUGAGAUGAAGCAAUCCUCCCACCUUGGCCUCCCAAAGUGUUGGGAUAACAGGCAUGAGCCACCAUGCCUGGCCCUAUUAUUUUUCUAAUCAGAAUAAAAGUGAUGUUUUUAUGAGCAGAAUACCCUUACUCAUUGUCUCUCUCAGCCUCUUCCACCCCCAUCACAUUCCUUGUAACACAGGGUAGGUGUCACAGGCUUUGCCUCUCAUGGCUCAGGGUUUAGGGACACUGCAUCACCCACCCCUUCAAGCACCAGCCCCAGGGCAGGGGGUGGGCCCUGAGGAAGCCAAUCAUCGUUUAGAGCAUCCCAGUGUCCUUAGUACCACAGGUCAGGUCCUCAGCUGCUGCAGCCUUACAACUAACCUCUACCCCAGGCUGGCUGGCACAGGGCUGUCGCUUGUCCUGUCUUGUCCUUCCUGCCUUAGAACCUGAACUGAGCCCAGCUGACUGUGGGAAAGUUUCCAUUUGGGCCAGCUGCAGUGUCCCUUUUCCAGGCCAGGGGAGUAGGAGGUGGGCUGCCCGUCUCAUUCUGUGAGCUGUGGAGGAGCCCACAGAGCACAGGGCCAAGUAAACCCUACCUCCAAGGAGCUCACAGUUUGGAGAGACUGACAGUGGGGGCAGAGCUUGCAGCCAAGGCCCCGGUUGCCAAACUCAGGAACUUGGACUUUACUCACAUGAAGCCAGACACACUCUCCAGUCUAAGAGUGACAAGGGUUGGAUUUCAGUUUUAGAAUAAUCACUCUGGCUGUUGCGAAAAGGAUGGGCCCAGAGGGAGGGAAGGCAGGAGGCUGGCAGAGUGCAAAGAAGAGCUGCUGUGUGCAUGGCUGGAGACUGAGAGGAACAAGGGCAAACAUUGCCCACCCCUUCCCAGAGACCCACAGUGCAAAUGGUGACUGCCCAACACCAGCACUGUGGCCCUGGGGAUGAGAGUCUGAGAUCAGGUGUGGAGAUUCAUUGCAGCCCUCAGGCCCAUGGAGGCCCAGGGGAAAUGACACAUCCAAUCCCUCCCUACCCUCUGGGUAUGCCCUGGUAUCCCUCUCCCAGCCAGUUUCCUCUGACCCAAGGUCAUCCUUGCAGCUGGUGAAGACACACAACCUGCUAACCACCAGGAACUAUAUCUUUGGAUACCACCCCCAUGGUAUCAUGGGCCUGGGUGCCUUCUGCAACUUCAGCACAGAGGCCACAGAAGUGAGCAAGAAGUUCCCAGGCAUACGGCCUUACCUGGCUACACUGGCAGGCAACUUCCGAAUGCCUGUGUUGAGGGAGUACCUGAUGUCUGGAGGUAAGAAUCCACCCCCUCUGCUCCUGCUGGGCACUGUUGUCAAGGCCUGAGCCUCUCCAUCGGGCAGGGUGACACAGGGAGCCAACACACCAUUCCUUGGUGCUGGGCCUGCAUUGGGCGAUGCAACCUGCUUCAGACAUGGUGGGUCAGGGCUGAGGAGGAGAGCUGUCCAUAUGGUCUUCAGAAUUCAACUCGGAUAACAUCUUCCCUAGGAGGCCUUCUUUGACCCCCUUUUCUGGGGACCCCCAGCCCUUGUGUUGCCUUUUGUACAACCUGAUUGUUGUCCAUGGCACUGUAAUUGUCCACCUGCCUGAGACCUCCCACCAGACUGAUGCAUUGGGAUCCCCAACACCUCGCACCGACUUGGCAGAAUUAGGGCCCAGGGAAUGUUUGCCAAAUGCAUGAGUUCCCAAAACAACCUUGUAUCAUUAGCUGCAUUUUACAGAUGAGGAAACUGAGGCUCAGAAAAAUGAAUAGCUUACACAGAACCAGACAACUCCAAAGGGGCUGGGCUAGGUCUGGGGCCCAAGUCCAGGGUUCUUUAUGUUUUAUACCUGACUGUGUGCCGGGGGUGGGGAGUGGAUCCAUGGGCAACCCUGACUGUUGCGUCCUUCCCUCCCCUCAGGUAUCUGCCCUGUCAGCCGGGACACCAUAGACUAUUUGCUUUCAAAGAAUGGGAGUGGCAAUGCUAUCAUCAUCGUGGUGGGGGGUGCGGCUGAGUCUCUGAGCUCCAUGCCUGGGAAGAAUGCAGUCACCCUGCGGAACCGCAAGGGCUUUGUGAAACUGGCCCUGCGUCAUGGAGCUGACCUGGUUCCCAUCUACUCCUUUGGAGAGAAUGAAGUGUACAAGCAGGUGAUCUUCGAGGAGGGCUCCUGGGGCCGAUGGGUCCAGAAGAAGUUCCAGAAAUACAUUGGUUUUGCCCCAUGCAUCUUCCAUGGUCGAGGCCUCUUCUCCUCCGACACCUGGGGGCUGGUGCCCUACUCCAAGCCCAUCACCACUGUUGUGGGAGAGCCCAUCACCAUCCCCAAGCUGGAGCACCCAACCCAGCAAGACAUCGACCUGUACCACACCAUGUACAUGGAGGCCCUGGUGAAGCUCUUCGACAAGCACAAGACCAAGUUCGGCCUCCCGGAGACUGAGGUCCUGGAGGUGAACUGAGCCAGCCUUUGGGGCCAACUCCCUGGAGGAACCAGCUGCAAAUCACUUUUUUGCUCUGUAAAUUUGGAAGCGUCAUGGGUGUCUGUGGGUUAUUUAAAAGAAAUUAUAACAAUUUUGCUAAACC